rnacentral:rRNA from 1 species
UUAGUUGGUGAGGUAACGGGUCACCAAGGCAAAGAUGUGUAGCCGACUGAGAGGGUGAUCGGCCACAUUGGGANUGAGACACGGCCCAGACUCCUUCGGGAGGCAGCAGUAGGGAAUUUCCGCAAUGGACGAAAGUCUGACGGAGCAACGNCGCGUGAGUGAUGAAGGCUUUCGGGUCGUAAAACUCUGUUGUUAGGGAAGAACAAGUGCUAGUUGAAUAAGCUGGCACCUUGACGGUACCUAACCAGAAAGCCACGGCUAACUACGUGCCAGCAGCCGCGGUAAUACGUAGGUGGCAAGCGUUAUCCGGAAUUAUUGGGCGUAAAGCGCGCGCAGGUGGUUUCUUAAGUCUGAUGUGAAAGCCCACGGCUCAACCGUGGAGGGUCAUUGGAAACUGGGAGACUUGAGUGCAGAAGAGGAAAGUGGAAUUCCAUGUGUAGCGGUGAAAUGCGUAGAGAUAUGGAGGAACACCAGUGGCGAAGGCGACUUUUUGGUCUGUAACUGACACUGAGGCGCGAAAGCGUGGGGAGCAAACAGGAUUAGAUACCCUGGUAGUCCACGCCGUAAACGAUGAGUGCUAAGUGUUAGAGGGUUUCCGCCCUUUAGUGCUGAAGUUAACGCAUUAAGCACUCCGCCUGGGGAGUACGGCCGCAAGGCUGAAACUCAAANGAAUUGACGGGGGCCCGCACAAGCGGUGGAGCAUGUGGUUUAAUUCGAA